CUCAGUAUGAGUUCCAGUUCCCGGGUGCUUGGACGUUGCGGAUCGGCUUAAAAAACGCAUCGGAAGCGAGAAUAUUCUGUUUGCCAGCAAUUCGAAAUGAGUUAAAAUGUGUGCAAAAUAUGAUAAAAAUAUAUGCCAUAAAUGGCAUAUGGGCUGCUAUCCAUGAAAAAGUGUUAAGUGUAGUGUAUCCUAUGCAACGAAAUGGGUCCAUGUGUUAAAGAUGUGCUUGCCAAGUAAAAAAAACCGAAAAGUAGAGGGGGUUAACAAUAAUUCAGCAAAUGAAUUGAAUAAAGGAUUCUACGGUAAUAUUUCUGCACAUAUUUUCAGAACAACAUAGCACUCACACAGCCAAUAACCAGUCCGGCCGCCAGAUUGCCACUCCAGGAUACCAAAUAUUACACAACUCCAGAGGACUGUUCUCCAUUUUGGGCACAUUUAAAAUUCAGAACGCGUUGAGCUAUAUUUUAGGCAAGAUGUCCGAGCCAUCCCCAGCACGAUUCCGGUCAUAAUUCUUUUGGUUUGAUGACCGCAUUCCCACCUCCAAAACAAACGGCUAAGGCGCCGCGGUAAAAAUUUGUUUGCGACUUGAUGGCUUAAUCCACCGCAAAGUGGCUCAGUGGUGCCUGGUAUGGGCUCAUUACGGGUCAGAAAUCAAUUGUGGUCCGAAAUCGCUGUGAACCAACUGCUUAUGCAAAGCAUGCCAUUCAAACAGAGCAAAACAAUGGAGAGCGAAAGAGACCAGGCCAAAGAAAUUCGUCGGACACAAUGAAGACAUUUGCUGCGAACCAUACUACCUACUAAUCCUGGCAAUGAACCCUUGACUUUUGGCCGCAAUUCAUCAAACAAUUGGCCGACCAUUUGCAUGCGGUGGUUGGCAGCUCUUCAUUUUAAAACUCCCUUUCCCGUAUCUGCAUCCUAAUCCGGAGGACUGAGGAUUGCGGAUUGAGGGCGACUAAUUGAGCACUUUUGUUUGAGUGCCGUGCUGCGCGGAUUUCGCCUACUUGUUAGUUGCUGCCCAAUAACAUCGCUCUCCUUCCUCAUGCACUGCGGAAAGGAUAUUUGAUUUUAAAUAAAGCCUCUCAAUUAAUUGUAUCCUAAAAAUAUACGAAAUUACAAAAAAAAUA
ensembl:ncRNA lncRNA:bxd bithoraxoid